AUUGAACGCUGGCGGAAUGCUUUACACAUGCAAGUCGAACGGCAGCACGGACUUCGGUCUGGUGGCGAGUGGCGAACGGGUGAGUAAUGUAUCGGAACGUGCCCAGUCGUGGGGGAUAACGUAGUGAAAAUUACGCUAAUACCGCAUACGAUCUAUGGAUGAAAGCGGGGGAUCGCAAGACCUCGCGCGAUUGGAGCGGCCGAUAUCAGAUUAGGUAGUUGGUGGGGUAAAGGCCACCAAGCCAACGAUCUGUAGCUGGUCUGAGAGGACGACCAGCCACACUGGAACUGAGACACGGUCCAGACUCCUACGGGAGGCAGCAGUGGGGAAUUUUGGACAAUGGGCGAAAGCCUGAUCCAGCCAUUCCGCGUGCAGGAUGAAGGCCCUCGGGUUGUAAACUGCUUUUGUACAGAACGAAAAGGUUUCUACUAAUACUAGGAGCUCAUGACGGUACUGUAAGAAUAAGCACCGGCUAACUACGUGCAGCAGCCGCCGUAA
rnacentral:rRNA from 1 species